rnacentral:rRNA from 1 species
GACGAACGCUGGCGGCGUGCCUAAUACAUGCAAGUCGAACGCAGUGGGGACGGGUGAGUAACAAGUGGGUAACCUCCCAUCAGAGGGGAUAACACUUGGAAACAGGUGCUAAACCGAUACUGAUGGAUGAACACGCGGUGCAUUAGCUAGUUGGUGAGGUAAAGGCUCACCAAGGCGACGAUGCAUAGCCGACCUGAGAGGAUGAUCGGCCACACUGGGACUGAGACACGGCCCAGACUCCUACGGGAGGCAGCAGUAGGGAAUAUUCGGCAAUGGACGCAAGCCUGACCCAGCAAUGCCGCGUGAGUGAAGAAGGUUUUCGGAUCGUAAAACUCUUUUGUUAAGGAAGCGGUACCUACCCAGAAAGCACCGGCUAACUACGUGCCAGCAGCCGCGGUAAUUC